rnacentral:rRNA from 1 species
GACGACCUCAGUUCGGAUUNAAGGCUGAAAUUCGCCUUCAUGAAGUCGGAAUUGCUAGUAAUGGCAGGUCAGCAUACUGCCGUGAAUACGUUCCCGGGCCUUGUACACACCGCCCGUCACACCAUGAGAGUUGGAGAUACCCGAAGCCUAUGAGCUAACUUUUAGAGGCAGUAGUCGAAGGUAGAAUCAAUGAUUGGGGUGAAGUCGUAACAAGGUAUC